GGAGAGAUGACCGAGAGGCUGAAGGUGGCUGACUCGAAAUCAGCUGUGCUGGAAACGGCACCGGGGGUUCAAAUCCCUCUCUCUCCGCCA
rnacentral:tRNA from 3 species